rnacentral:rRNA from 1 species
ACGGAAGGCAGCAGUGGGGAAUAUUGGGCAAUGGGCGAAAGCCUGACCCAGCGACGCCGCGUGAAGGAAGAAGGCCUUCGGGUUGUAAACUUCAGUCAACAGGGAAGAAACAAAUGACGGUACCUGUGGAGGAGGCCACGGCUAACUACGUGCCAGCAGCCGCGGUAAUACGUAGGUGGCGAGCGUUAUCCGGAUUUACUGGGUGUAAAGGGUGUGUAGGCGGGACUGCAAGUCAGAUGUGAAAAUUAUGGGCUCAACCCAUAACCUGCAUUUGAGACUGUGGUUCUUGAGUGUCGGAGAGGUAAAUGGAAUUCCCAGUGUAGCGGUGAAAUGCGUAGAUAUUGGGAGGAACACCAGUGGCGAAGGCGGUUUACUGGACGACAACUGACGCUGAGACACGAAAGCGUGGGGAGCAAACAGGAUUAGAUACCCUGGUA